GUUGAACGCUGGCGGCAUGCCUUAUACAUGCAAGUCGAACGGCCGCACGGGGAGUUUCCCCUGGUGACGAUAGGCGAAGGGGUGAGUAAUACAUCUGGACAAGUCCUCUAGAGGAGUGGAGCACCGCGGAAGCAGCGGUACUAACACAGACGAACCUCGGAUGAAAGCGGGGGCCCUACUGGCCUCGCGUUUUGGUGUUGCCCGAUGGCUGAUUAGCUAGUUGGUGGGGUAAAGGCUUACCAAGGCAACGAUCAGUAGCUGGUCUGAGAGGGCGACCAGCCACACUGGGACUGAGACACGGCCCAGACUCCUACGGGAGGCAGCAGUAGGGAAUCUUGGACAAUGGGCGAAAGCCUGAUGGAGCAAUGCCGCGUGUGUGAAGAAGGUCUUCGGGUUGUAAAGCACUUUUGUCAGGAAAGAAAAACUUGGUAAUAAUACAGGCGGGGGAUGACGGUACCGGAAGAGUAAGCCACGGCUAACUACGUG
rnacentral:rRNA from 1 species